rnacentral:rRNA from 1 species
UGCUUCUCUGAUGUUAGCGGCGGACGGGUGAGUAACACGUGGAUAACCUACCUAUAAGACUGGGAUAACUUCGGGAAACCGGAGCUAAUACCGGAUAAUAUUUUGAACCGCAUGGUUCAAAAGUGAAAGACGGUCUUGCUGUCACUUAUAGAUGGAUCCGCGCUGCAUUAGCUAGUUGGUAAGGUAACGGCUUACCAAGGCAACGAUGCAUAGCCGACCUGAGAGGGUGAUCGGCCACACUGGAACUGAGACACGGUCCAGACUCCUACGGGAGGCAGCAGUAGGGAAUCUUCCGCAAUGGGCGAAAGCCUGACGGAGCAACGCCGCGUGAGUGAUGAAGGUCUUCGGAUCGUAAAACUCUGUUAUUAGGGAAGAACAUAUGUGUAAGUAACUGUGCACAUCUUGACGGUACCUAAUCAGAAAGCCACGGCUAACUACGUGCCAGCAGCCGCGGUAAUACGUAGGUGGCAAGCGUUAUCCGGAAUUAUUGGGCGUAAAGCGCGCGUAGGCGGUUUUUUAAGUCUGAUGUGAAAGCCCACGGCUCAACCGUGGAGGGUCAUUGGAAACUGGAAAACUUGAGUGCAGAAGAGGAAAGUGGAAUUCCAUGUGUAGCGGUGAAAUGCGCAGAGAUAUGGAGGAACACCAGUGGCGAAGGCGACUUUCUGGUCUGUAACUGACGCUGAUGUGCGAAAGCGUGGGGAUCGAAACAGGAUUAGAUACCCUGGUAGGUCCACGCCGUAAACGAUGAGUGCUAAGUGUUAGGGGGUUUCCGCCCCUUAGUGCUGCAGCUAACGCAUUAAGCACUCCGCCUGGGGAGUACGACCGCAAGGUUG